rnacentral:rRNA from 1 species
UGGGGAAUUUUGGACAAUGGGCGAAAGCCUGAUCCAGCAAUGCCGCGUGUGUGAAGAAGGCCUUCGGGUUGUAAAGCACUUUUGUCCGGAAAGAAAUCCUUGGCUCUAAUACAGUCGGGGGAUGACGGUACCGGAAGAAUAAGCACCGGCUAACUACGUGCCAGCAGCCGCGGUAAUACGUAGGGUGCAAGCGUUAAUCGGAAUUACUGGGCGUAAAGCGUGCGCAGGCGGUUUGCUAAGACCGAUGUGAAAUCCCCGGGCUCAACCUGGGAACUGCAUUGGUGACUGGCAGGCUAGAGUAUGGCAGAGGGGGUAGAAUUCCACGUGUAGCAGUGAAAUGCGUAGAGAUGUGGAGGGAUACCGAUGGCGAAGGCAGCCCCCUGGGCCAAAUACUGACGCUCAUGCACGAAAGCGUGGGGAGCAAACAGGAUUAGAUAUCCUGGUAGUCCACGCCCUAAAACGAUGUCAACUAGUUGUUGGGGAUUCAUUUCCUUAGUAACGUAGCUAACGCGUGAAGUUGACCGCCUGGGGAGUACGGUCGCAAGAUUAAAACUCAAAUGAAUUGAC